AUUGAACGCUGGCGGCAUGCUUUACACAUGCAAGUCGAACGGCAGCGGGGGCUUCGGUCUGGUGGCGAGUGGCGAACGGGUGAGUAAUGUAUCGGAACGUGCCCAGUCGUGGGGGAUAACGUAGUGAAAAUUACGCUAAUACCGCAUACGAUCUAUGGAUGAAAGCGGGGGAUCGCAAGACCUCGCGCGAUUGGAGCGGCCGAUAUCAGAUUAGGUAGUUGGUGGGGUAAAGGCUCACCAAGCCAACGAUCUGUAGCUGGUCUGAGAGGACGACCAGCCACACUGGAACUGAGACACGGUCCAGACUCCUACGGGAGGCAGCAGUGGGGAAUUUUGGACAAUGGACGCAAGUCUGAUCCAGCCAUUCCGCGUGCAGG
rnacentral:rRNA from 1 species